UGAGGAAUAUUGGUCAAUGGGCGCAAGCCUGAACCAGCCAUCCCGCGUGCAGGAAGACGGCCCUAUGGGUUGUAAACUGCUUUUCCAGGGGGAGAAACUUGCGCACGUGUUGCGCAAUUGACGGUACCCUGGGAAUAAGCAUCGGCUAACUCCGUGCCAGCAGCCGCGGUAAUACGGAGGAUGCGAGCGUUAUCCGGAUUCAUUGGGUUUAAAGGGUGCGUAGGCGGACUAUUAAGUCAGUGGUGAAAUCCUGCAGCUUAACUGCAGAACUGCCAUUGAUACUGAUAGCCUUGAGUUUGGUUAAGGUAGGCGGAAUGUGUAAUGUAGCGGUGAAAUGCUUAGAUAUUACACAGAACACCAAUUGCGUAGGCAGCUUACUGAGCCGACACUGACGCUGAGGCACGAAAGCGUGGGGAUCGAACAGG
rnacentral:rRNA from 1 species